CAAUUUUCCUUUCAUUCAUCUUCAAAUUUUUCGUUAUUCUGAACUGAAAAAUUGGAUAAAUCUCCAAUUCUCCAUAGCUUCCGUAUGUUCAGCUCAAAAUCAGUAAUGAAAUUCAGUAAUUUCCAUUCGAUUCAUCAACAGUAGUUGAGGUUCGUCAAAAUUUUGAGCUUCCGUAAGUUCAGCUCAAGACAUUCAGAAAUUUCCUCUCAAUUCAUCAAACAGUAGCUGAAGUACGUCAAAAUUUUGAGGUUUAUGUUGGGAUGCGAAUUCCAUGUUGAUACGGGAAUAAUCUCGGAUAUGGACUUAGGAGAGUGCAUGUUGGACCCGAGCCUUAGCAUGUGCAAUUGAAGUAUAAAAGAGGCCCAAAAUGCACCCAAAUCAGCCCAUAAAUUACACUAGAUGGGUGCCCACUCUUUGAAGGGUCUUUUGGUCAUUUUAACUUAUAUUUUGUAAUAGUUAUAAAAGGAACAUUGUAGGGUUUUUAGAUUUAGUUUUUGAUGAUAUUUGUUAGUCUUGAAAGACCAAAGAACACAAGUCCUCUCUCCUUUGAGGCACCAAAACCGAAACUAGGAUACAACAAUAGGGUGGAUUCUCUUUUGUUGUUGCUUGCUUGGAAACGUUGAUGCUAGAGAGGUGCAAUCCGAUCUUGUGUCAUGUAAGAGAUAGGUCUAUUGUUGUGUCUAGUGUUAAGGGUCCAAGAGUGUCCAUUCUUGGUUUCUUGAGAUUAUACCUUCAUGUGGUCUAUCUAUCUAUCCCUUUACUUUCU